AGUAAUAUAAGCUAAAUAAGCUAUUGGGCCCAUACCUCAAAGAUACUACUGGUUAUUACUA
rnacentral:tRNA from 1 species